UACGAAGGGAGCUAGCGUUGUUCGGAAUCACUGGGCGUAAAGCGCACGUAGGCGGAUGUGUCAGUCAGGGGUGAAAUCCCGGAGCUCGACUUCGGAACUGCCCUUGAUACAGCACGUCUUGAGUCCGGAAGAGGUGGGUGGAAUUCCUAGUGUAGAGGUGAAAUUCGUAGAUAUUAGGAAGAACACCGGUGGCGAAGGCGGCUCUCUGGAACGGUACUGACGCUGAGACGCGAAAGCGUGGGGAGCAAACAGG
rnacentral:rRNA from 1 species